AACGAACGCUGGCGGCAUGCCUAACACAUGCAAGUCGAACGAGAUCUUCGGGUCUAGUGGCGCACGGGUGCGUAACGCGUGGGAAUCUGCCCUUUGGUUCGGAAUAACAGUUGGAAACGACUGCUAAUACCGGAUGAUGACGAAAGUCCAAAGAUUUAUCGCCAGAGGAUGAGCCCGCGUAGGAUUAGCUAGUUGGUGUGGUAAAGGCGCACCAAGGCGACGAUCCUUAGCUGGUCUGAGAGGAUGAUCAGCCACACUGGGACUGAGACACGGCCCAGACUCCUACGGGAGGCAGCAGUGGGGAAUAUUGGACAAUGGGCGAAAGCCUGAUCCAGCGAUGCCGCGUGAGUGAUGAAGGCCUUAGGGUUGUAAAGCUCUUUUACCCGGGAUGAUAAUGACAGUACCGGGAGAAUAAGCUCCGGCUAACUCCGUGCCAGCCGCCGCAGUAACGC
rnacentral:rRNA from 1 species